CAACAACAACAACAGAGAUCAUUAUUCGGAAUGUUGUAUUCACAAGGAUUACAAGGCCCAAUUAUUAAAAAUAAUAAUUAUAGAUCUGAUGUUGUGAUAAACAGUGGGCAUCAUCAUACUCAAAGUGAUUAUACCUUGAAUUCUAUUGUGGCCCAAGGAGCAACAUAUUCAAGCAGUGGGAUAGUAUCUAGUAGAAAUAUUAGAAAUGAGAUAAGUAAUGGCUACAACUUGAAUGUCAGUAUGGAUAAUGUCACAUCAUAUUCAAGUAACGCAAUGAUGUAUGAUAAUCAUGUUGGAAAUGUGGCUAUUAAUAAAUUGGAAGAAGCAAAUCCAAAUUUUUAAAAAUAUAUUGAUGAACCAAAUAUAUCUAAUAUGAACAAUCCCUUCCAGAAGCUUGAACCUCCGAGUGCAAGCCUACAUAAUGUACAAGACAAUGACUUUGAUCAGAUUUACUAUGCUGAUUAGGUUAGUACUUCUAUCUUAUUUGGUAUUACAUUUAUUCUAUGUUUGAUUAUUAAGAUUAGUUAAAAUUAGUACAAGUUUUAAAUCUUGUUUCUUGUAUCAUAAAUUCAUAUUAAACACAUGAUUAAAUUUUAUUUUCCUUAUUUUUUAUUAGAAUAUAAUCUCCAAUAUUUUUUGAUACACCCAUAAUAUCCUUUAGAUAUUACUUAAAACCUACAUAGGUAGGUGACAGCUACAUUGAAUGUCCGUUUUGAGGAAUCACAAAUUAUUCAGACAAAUCCUUAAUGUGAUGAUCCAGUGCUAUCAAGACUUUCAUCUCUCAGAAUCAUUCUUUGUAGUGACAAAGUUUCUUUCUCAAGUGGAUAUUUCUUAUUUCAUAUUUUUUAGACUAUUUUAUUUGGUAUGACUUGAAGUAUGGCUUUAUUUUGUUAUUGUCAUUUCCCUAGUCUAGAUAGGGCAAACAAGAACCAUACGAGCAUGAGCUAUGAGACUCAUGUAUAUACUGUGCGAAAGAGUUACUAUUUCUAAAUAAUGAUAAAGGGCUAUGUAUAAACUAAGUGUAUCCCAUCGGACACUCAUCCAAUGCAAACGGAUGAAACUAUGGCCACGUGUGACAACUUAACAUUGUUUACGGAGUCUCUAAGAGAAAUUAUAACUGUACCAAGGAAGAUGGUUAGAACAGGGCCCCGACAUACUCAAACUAUAACCAGAAAUAUAUUUAAAUAGUACCAGACAUUUAUUAGCUCCAGGUAAGAAAGAAGCUCUCUGACUGCUGUAUUGAAUACGGAUGAGUGCCUAGUAUAAAAGUCUGCUCAUCGAUAUACCUGAUUCUGUAUUUACAGAAAUACAGUUCCCCCGAACGUAGGAAUGUUAGUACAUAUAAAAUAUGUACUAGUGUGUAAAGAAAACAAAAUAACAAGUAGACAUAUAAGGAUGUUCAAUGAAUCAAACAAUAAAAUAAGCAACUGUGGACGACUGAAUACUAGAACCUCUUAUAUGAAACUAUAACUUAUGGGAGAACGGGUGACAAAUGCUCCAUAAAAGACUAUUACUUAUGCAUUUACCAUAUUAACCACUUAUGAAUAAAUCAUCCUUAUGAAGAGCCUAUUAAUUUCCCCAAGUGAUAUCCAGUACCUACUUUUAAUACAAAUAAUCAUAUGAUGGACUACCAAAGGCAUUCCAUGACAAGAGUACAACAUGUGUUACACAAAUACUCCAGAAUGUGAUUUUAUAUGUAUAACUAUAAUCAUGGUCUAUACAGGGUACACCUCUAUGGGCUCGCUAUGAGGGUCUGUCCGCAGGCGACAUGUGCCAUAUUUUGGCUUGAGUCAGGGAAACUAGUUCAGCUGACUCCAAAUGCAAAUGACGCCACAAGGGCAAAUACGCCAUAAUAUUUGAGCUUAGUAUAGUGGUCUGGCCUCAAUUCUGUGCACAGAAUUAUGUUGUGUGUGUGCCAAGACAAACUUAUGAAUACCCACCCAUUGUUAACUUUUAUCAAAUAUCUCUUUGUAAGCCUAUGCAAGUAUAUAUUAUGAUGAAUAUUGUUUAGCUAUUCAAGUAGUAUUGUCCACAUACAACUGACUUCUUUGAUAGUAUCGAACUAUUUAAAUACUAGUACUUUAUAUCAUCAUAUGACCCUGUCUUUAUGUGAUCUAAUAAACAACCAACUCCUUUGAUACUUGACUUAAUAGAAGUAGUACGAACGUUGUGACUUCAAUAAAUAAAUGCAUCAGGUGUAUAGAAUCAUAAUUUCAAUUGUAAAGGACACAUAGUCAUGUGUUAGGCAUGUCGAUACUAAAAACUCUAUUCGCAUAUUUCUAGUAGACUAUGUCAGCUCUUUUCGGAGAAAAAAAUGACUCUAGGGAAUGCCUUAAAGGCAAAGGAGAUUUUAGCUUUACAUAUCUUUGAUGCUUUCCUAGCUAAUGGUACCACAAGCUUCCAAUAAUGUAAGACCCCUCAUUUUUGGGCUGGUCUUUAAACUGUCGUUUCUAUGUGUAUAAUCUAUAAUCCAAAUGAUUCUCAUGUGAAUAUAAGUUUUAUGAUCUUUAUCCUCAUGUUUGAUGUGCUUUCGAGAUGAAAAAUAUUCAUAGAAAUCACUUAGAACAACGUUAAGCUAAGAGCCUUUGAUUCGUCCAAAGUUUUGUAUUCGAUUCUACAAGGAUCUACAUUAAAUGUGUAUAACUUUUGAUAUACGUGGAAUUUUUCAUCUCAAGACCCACCAAACUAUAGAUAAUUGAAUCCUAUUUCCAACGAUACCAAUUUCUCCUUAAUCCGAUAUCCGAGCAAAAAGUUAUGGCUUUUUCUGUGAGAGGCAAUAAGUGAAGGCGAUAUGCCUGCGCCGCCUGGGUUAUUGCACCGGGAUAGAGGAGACGUCACGGGAUCUACUCCCUCGGGUGAAAGGGGGUGUCGCCUAGUCCAUUUCUCUGUCGUUUUAAACUUUUUAAGGGUCAAGGCGCACUUUGGUCCUUUCCCCUUAACCCCAAACAUCCAAGGGACAAUUUAUAGCAUCCAAAAGGGAAAUAUUUGCCCAUCUUCUUCAAGAUUUUCUCUCAAGAAACCCUUAUUCUUUCCCAAGAACAAUUCAAGCUUUAUUCUCAAGAAAGUAAAAGAUUCAAGCUCUUAAUUUCAAGAAACCCUUAAGAAAUCUCCAAGAAAUCAUCUAAUUAAGGUAUGCGGGAGUUUAUCCAUGGGCCUCCUUUCACCCAUGGAUCCCAAAAACCCAUUUUUAAGUUCAAAGUUAUGAUCUUUACAUGUUAAUAUGAAUUAUAUCCAUGAAACCUCCAUGAAUUUCGAUUAUGUAUCAUGAUUAUAAAUGAUUUUUGUUGAAAUUGCCUUGAUAUGUUCGAAUGGUGAUUUUCACAUGAUUAAAUCCUUAACCCAUGUUUUUAAUAUUGAAAUUUAUUUGAUUUUCAUGGUUUAACUACUCCCAUGUUUUAACUCAUGAUCCUCAUGUGUUUGAUUUCAAGUUAAAAGUAUAUGUGUUUUCAAGUGGAAUAAGCCAAUACAUAUUUUGAAUGUUAUGAUUUUCAUAUCAAAUCCUAAGUUGUGAAUUGAUUUAUGUAUCCAUGAUAUUUUCACAUGUUUGCUCAUUCCCAUGCAUAAGUUUAGGGUCUCCACAUGUUUGAUGAAAUUUCCAUAUCAAGUACAAUCAAUUUAAAGAUGAAUCUCUAAGUUAUGAAUUUUGCCAUGUAACUCUAUUGUUCCCUCAUGUUUAAGAUAUUCUUAUGUUCAAGCUAUGAGCUUUAUAUGUUUUCAUGAAAAUCCCAUGUCCUAUUCCAAGCGAAUUUCGUAUAAAUCCCCCAAUUCAUGAUCUUAGUCAUCUAAUCAUGCUAUGCUCCUAUGUUUGACAUCCCCAUGUUCAAGUUCAUGAUUCCUAGGUAUUUGAUGAAAUUCCCUAAUGAUUGGAUUUUGAAUAUUGACUACUUAUUAAGUCCCGAAGCUUUAGUAUGUCUUAUUGUUAUUGUUAGCGAGUCCUGGGGGUUAUGAAUACCCAAAAUUUAGUUGUUUACUUAGUUUUUAGUAUCUACUGAAUGAUUUCAGUUAUACCAUGAGCAAAUCAUUUUGUCAGUAAUAUGGUUAGUUGUGAGUCCAAUUAAUCUUAGCUCAGUCCAUUUUCAGUUCCAGUAUCAGUUUAUACAUUAAUAAUUACCUUAGAAUCCGUAUGUACUAUUAUUUUCAGAAUACCAUGACCAGAGCUUAUCAGUUAUUAGUUAUCAGUUCAUGCACCAGUUAGUAUUUCAGUGUCUUUCAGUUGGGAGUAAGAUUUAGCACUGAGUGAAUGCAGGGGUGGCGGCUUCCCCAUCAGUUAGGCAGAGUCGUUAGUAGCAGUCCCUAUAUUGCAGAACUAAGUAGUCAGCGUAAGAUACGAGGAGUCACCCGUUAUUUUAGUCUUGACUACCUCUCAGGGUCACUCUUCAGUUUAGGAUUGACACCCUGAUCCCUCGGGACAUCAAAUUAGUGGAUCCACACAGCCAGUGUUAGUACCUGUGGCACGGUACUAACACCCUUCCAACUAGGGUUAUAAGUUGGACCCUAAUUAGCUCAGAUUGAGGCAUGUCGGUUAGAUGAUACCUCCCACAGUCUCAAUACAGUAUUCAGUGUAUUUUUAGUUCAGGUUUGCUUGACUAAGUGUACAGACUUUUAGAUAUUUAAUUUUACAGCUUUCAAUCUUCCAAAUUACAGAUUUCCUCAGUAACAGAUAUACACUUAGUCUCGCAUUCUCAGAUAUUAUAGUUUUUGUGCAUUAAUGUUCAGUUAUCUCAUAUUGUUCAGAUAGUCCUUACCUUAUAUGCAUAGUACUCCAUAGUUUCAGUCCAGUUGUUCAGACUAAGUAUAGUUUAGUCUUACAUGACCAAUAUUCAGCUAUCAGUUAUUUAGUUAAUCAGAUAAGCUUAAUAUAUUUUAUGUUUGGUUUUGUAUGUUUAUGCAUUCGUGCUCAGUUUAAUUGUUUGUUCAGAUCCUCGAGUUAUGUCAGUCUCCAUCACGUAGUUUCAAACCCAGUAUUCAUAUAGUACCCAUGUUUUACUGUUUUCCAGCUCUAGUUCUACUUAUAUUAUAAAAGUAAAGUUUUAAGAAUCUAAGUGUAGUCAUUCACAAGCUUACCAGAUUAUGUUUGUUGCUAAUUAUCUUAAGAUCAUUCAGCUUUCAGUUUAUUCCAGCCUAUUGGUGAGUCUACUCACACUUAGCAUACAUGCUUUAAUAUUUCAUUUAUAUAAUCAGUUUUACUUAUUGAAUUUACUCCCGUAUAUUCUGUAUAUUCCAGAAGUACUGAUCCACAUAUACGUCUAUGUGCUGCAUUGUCGCAUAAUGUCGAUACCAGUUAUAGCCUACGCAUCAUAAUCAAAUAGUUGCAGUUCCAUCUAACAGGUGAUGAGUUCUCCUAUUUCGAGGACUUCAGUUAGAUGUUGUUCAUGUACUUUACUUUAAUACUCAUAUGUAUUGAUUAAUGGUAGUUUGGAUCAUGUCCUAGCUAUCUAUAGUUAGUAUAGUAGAGGCUUCAUAGAUGUCAGUCAGAGUCAGUCAUGUAAUUUCAGUUUCUUCCUCCAGAUUUAUAAGAUUGUAAAACUUUAUCAGUUACAUAAUAGUUUAGAUUUUCAGUAUGAUUAUGUUUUCGCGCAGCAGAACUUGUUAUUUAAUGUAUUAUAAUCCAGUUGCUUAACAGUAUGCCAGUUCAUGGGUUAGUUUGAGAUCACUUGUGGUUCUUAGCACCGUGUGGCAUCCAAAGUGUACUCCCGGGGCAUUACAAAUAACUUAACCCGUGGGAGUGUAGCCUUUACAUCGACAACCACCAACCCUGACUAUCCAAUAGGAUAAUAAUUAACUAUCAAAAAAAUAAUAUAUACAUCCAUCAAUAACCCAUAAGUUCACCUAAUAAUUUAUUCCAACACUAUUCACUUAUGCUCGAAACUAGUAUUUUCCUUAACAAUCGUUUGAAUUGAAUUUCUUAUUUUUCCAACCCGCAUGAUUCAAUAUCAAAUAUGCCCAAUAAGCAGAAAUUCCCAAAAACUAUAUCCUUAAUUAUCUUUUCCCCUUCUUCAAGAACCCAAUUAUCUGGACCUACUUCAAGAGUUAUUAAAACUCAAAUCAAAUAUCUAAAUUACUCAUCUAUAAUCAUAUUUAAGAGUGUAACAAAGAAUUUACCUUUGAGGAUUUUCAAUCCUAAUUUUAGACUUCAAAAUCAAUACUUGAAGCUUCCUUAAAAGUUGUUGCAAAUUUUAAUUGAAGGAAGGUUCCUUCUCGAGCCAAGCUUAUACAUCUGGCCAAGAAUAUUUCUCUAUUUUUCACUUCACUCACACUUAAAAUUAAGUUGCAUAGUUGUUGUUGUUGCAACGUAGAGAAAGAAAAAGAGAUAAAGGGCUGAAGCUUUUGAUAAUGACAAAAAUCAGCCCCACUAAUAUCCUA
rnacentral:lncRNA from 1 species